ensembl:ribozyme
AGGGGAUCACAAGUUCCAGGCCACAGCAGAAAUGCUCAUGGUGCAGCCCUGUCAGAUUCCAAUGACUCUGCAAAUUCUGUU